GUCUUUUUGAUUAUAAUUUAAAGUCUAACCUGCCCAAUGAGAGUUUGAAUGGCCGCGGUAAUUUGACCGUGCAAAGGUAGCAUAAUCAUUAGUUUUUUAAUUGAAAGCUGGAAUGAACGGUUGGACGAGAAAAUAACUGUCUCAAUUUAAUUGAAUAUAGAAUUUUAUUUAUAAGUAAAAAAGCUUAUAUGAUUUUAAAAGACGAGAAGACCCUAUAGAGUUUUAUAUUUUAAUAUAUUAAUUAAGUUUAGAAUGUUUAUGUUUUUAAUAUAAAAGAAUAUUUUACUGGGGCAGUGGAAAAAUUGAUUAAACUUUUUUUAUAUUGUUACAUUGAUUUAUGAGUAAGUGAUCCAUUUUUAAUGAUUAUAAGAUUAAAUUACCUUAGGGAUAACAGCGUAAUUUUUUUUUAGAGUUCUUAUCGAAAAAAGAGUUUGCGACCUCGAUGUUGGAUUAAAAUUAACUUUUGG
rnacentral:rRNA from 1 species